AUUGAACGCUGGCGGCAGGCCUAACACAUGCAAGUCGAGCGGGGUUUUCGGACCUAGCGGCGGACGGGUGAGUAAUGCGUAGGAAGCUGCCCGAUAGAGGGGGAUACCAGUUAGAAACGACUGUUAAUACCGCAUAAUGUCUACGGACCAAAGUGUGGGACCUUCGGGCCACAUGCUAUCGGAUGCGCCUACGUGGGAUUAGCUAGUUGGUGAGGUAAUGGCUCACCAAGGCGACGAUCUCUAGCUGGUUUGAGAGGAUGAUCAGCCACACUGGAACUGAGACACGGUCCAGACUCCUACGGGAGGCAGCAGUGGGGAAUAUUGGACAAUGGGCGCAAGCCUGAUCCGGCCAUGCCGCGUGUGUGAAGAAGGCCUUCGGGUUGUAAAGCACUUUCAGCGAGGAGGAAGGGUGGUGUGUUAAUAGCACAUCAUUUUGACGUUACUCGCAGAAGAAGCACCGGCUAACUCUGUGCCAGCCGCCGCAGUAAGAC
rnacentral:rRNA from 1 species